UCUGACCUCAAAUCAGGUAGGAUUACCCGCUGAACUUAAGCAUAUCAAUAAGCGGAGGAAAAGAAACUAACAAGG
rnacentral:rRNA from 1 species